rnacentral:rRNA from 1 species
AUUGAACGCUGGCGGCAUGCUUUACACAUGCAAGUCGAACGGUAACAGCACUUCGGUGGCUGACGAGUGGCGAACGGGUGAGUAAUACAUCGGAACGUGCCUAGUAGUGGGGGAUAACUACUCGAAAGAGUAGCUAAUACCGCAUGAGAUCUAAGGAUGAAAGCAGGGGACCUUCGGGCCUUGCGCUACUAGAGCGGCUGAUGGCAGAUUAGGUAGUUGGUGGGAUAAAAGCUUACCAAGCCGACGAUCUGUAGCUGGUCUGAGAGGACGACCAGCCACACUGGGACUGAGACACGGCCCAGACUCCUACGGGAGGCAGCAGUGGGGAAUGUUGGACAAUGGGCGCAAGCCUGAUCCAGCAAUGCCGCGUGCAGGAUGAAGGCCUUCGGGUUGUAAACUGCUUUUGUACGGAACGAAAAGCCCUCUUCUAAUACAGGAGGGUCAUGACGGUACCGGAAGAAUAAGCACCGGCUAACUACGUG